AGAGUUUGAUCCUGGCUCAGAACGAACGCUGGCGGCAGGCCUCAAACAUGCAAGUCUAGGGGGUGUAGCAAUACAUCACCGGCGGACGGGUGCGUAACACGUGGGAAUAUACCUUUUGGUUCGGAACAACGCAGGGAAACUUGCGCUAAUACCGAAUGUGCCCUUACGGGGAAAGAUUUAUCGCCAAAGGAUUAGCCCGCGUAGGAUUAGCUAGUUGGUGAGGUAAUGGCUCACCAAGGCUCCGAUCCUUAGCUGUUCUGAGAGGAAGAUCAGCCACACUGGGACUGAGACACGGCCCAGACUCCUACGGGAGGCAGCAGUUGGGAAUCUUGGACAAUGGGGGAAACCCUGAUCCAGCCAUGCCGCGUGAGUGAUGAAGGCCUUCGGGUUGUAAAACUCUUUCGACGGGGACGAUAAUGACGGUACCCGUAGAAGAAGCUCCGGCUAACUUCGUG
rnacentral:rRNA from 1 species